rnacentral:rRNA from 1 species
UGGGGAAUUUUGCGCAAUGGGGGAAACCCUGACGCAGCAACGCCGCGUGGAGGAUGAAGUCCCUUGGGACGUAAACUCCUUUCGACCGGGACGAUUAUGACGGUACCGGUGGAAGAAGCCCCGGCUAACUUCGUGCCAGCAGCCGCGGUAAUACGAGGGGGGCAAGCGUUGUUCGGAAUUAUUGGGCGUAAAGGGUGCGUAGGCGGUUUGACAAGUCUGAUGUGAAAUCUAUGGGCUCAACCCAUAGUCUGCAUCGGAAACUGUCGGGCUUGAGUAUGGGAGAGGUGAGUGGAAUUUCCGGUGUAGCGGUGAAAUACGUAGAUAUCGGAAGGAACACCUGUGGCGAAAGCGGCUCACUGGACCAUUACUGACGCUGAGGCACGAAAGCUAGGGGAGCAAACAGGAUUAGAUACCCUGGUAGUCCUAGCCCUAAACGAUGAUUGCUUGAUGUGGCAGGUACCCAAUCCUGCCGUGUCGAAGCUAACGCGAUAAGCAAUCCGCCUGGGGAGUACGGUCGCAAGGCUG